UUGCAGGCUGCAACCCGCCCUGCAUGAAGUCGGAAUUGCUAGUAAUCGCGGAUCAGCAUGCCGCGGUGAAUACGUUCCCGGGCCUUGUACACACCGCCCGUCACACCAUGGGAGCCGGUAAUACCCGAAGUCAGUAGUCCAACCACGUGAGGACGCUGCCGAAGGUAGGAUUGGCGACUGGGGUGAAGUCGUAACAAGGUAGC
rnacentral:rRNA from 1 species